ACGUGAUCUGAGUUCAGACCGGAGUAAUCCAGGUCAGUUUCUAUCUAUAAAGAGCUUUUUCUAGUACGAAAGGACCGAAAAAACAUGGCCAAUAAAUCAUUUAAGCCAUAAAAACAACUAAUGCCAACAACUAAAUUAGUGACCAACCUAACAUACUCUCUCAAGAAAAGAGAA
rnacentral:rRNA from 1 species